AUUGAACGCUGGCGGCAUGCUUUACACAUGCAAGUCGAACGGCAGCACGGGUGCUUGCACUUGGUGGCGAGUGGCGGACGGGUGAGUAAUACAUCGGAACGUAUCCUAAAGUGGGGGAUAACGCAUCGAAAGAUGUGCUAAUACCGCAUACACUCUGAGGAGGAAAGUAGGGGAUCGAAAGACCUUAUGCUUUUGGAGCGGCCGAUGUCUGAUUAGCUAGUUGGUAAGGUAAUGGCUUACCAAGGCAACGAUCAGUAGUUGGUCUGAGAGGACGACCAGCCACACUGGGACUGAGACACGGCCCAGACUCCUACGGGAGGCAGCAGUGGGGAAUUUUGGACAAUGGGCGCAAGCCUGAUCCAGCAAUGCCGCGUGAGUGAAGAAGGCCUUCGGUUGUAAAGCUCUUUCUAGUUGUAGAAGAAAAGAAUUAGUGACUAAUAAUUAGCAAUUCAUGACGGUAUCAACAGAAGAAGACACCGGCUAACUAACG
rnacentral:rRNA from 1 species